CCAAUAGCGUAUAUUAAAGUUGCUGCAGUUAAAAAGCUCGUAGUUGAAUUUCGGGACCAAUAUGUCGGUCGUGCUUCGGUACGUACUGUCAUUAUUGGUUUCUCCCUUCUGAAGAACCUUGAUGUCAUUAAUUUGGUGUCUUGGGGAAUCAGGACUGUUACUUUGAAAAAAUUAGAGUGUUUAAAGCAGGCUCGCGCUUGAAUACAUUAGCAUGGAAUAAUGAAAUAGGACGUUUGAUUCUAUUUUGUUGGUUUCUAGGAUCGACGUAAUGAUUAAUAGGGAUAGUUGGGGGCAUUAGUAUUCAAUUGUCAGAGGUGAAAUUCUUGGAUUUAUUGAAGACUAACUACUGCGAAAGCAGUUGCCAAGGAUGUUUUCAUUAAUCAAGAACGAAAGUUAGGGGAUCGAAGACGAUCAGAUACCGUCGUAGUCUUAACCAUAAACUAUGCCGACUAGGGAUCGGAUGAUGUUAAUUUUUUAAUGACUCAUUCGGCGCCUUACG
rnacentral:rRNA from 1 species